UACGUAGGGGGCAAGCGUUGUCCGGAUUCAUUGGGCGUAAAGGGCGCGUAGGCGGGGAGGUAAGUCGGGUGUGAAAUCCCUCGGCCCAACUGAGGAACUGCGCCCGAGACUGCUUCUCUUGAGUCCCGGAGAGGAAGAUGGAAUUCCCGGUGUAGCGGUGAAAUGUGUAGAGAUCGGGAGGAACACCGGUGGCGAAGGCGGUCUUACUGGACGGUGACUGACGCUGAGGCGCGAAAGCGUGGGGAGCAAACGGGAUUAGAUACCC
rnacentral:rRNA from 1 species